GUUUGCGGUAAGUUUUACCCGGGUGCUCAUUAUUCACGCGUCUAGUGGCGGCGUUGUGGCGCGACAAGCGCGUUCUGAAAGCGAGAGUAGUACUAGGAUGGGUUUCCUCAUAGGAAGUCCUCGUGUUGCAUUCC
rnacentral:rRNA from 1 species